rnacentral:rRNA from 1 species
GACGAACGCUGGCGGCGUGCUUAACACAUGCAAGUGGAGCGACGAACCAGGGGCUUGCCCCUGGGGCAGAGCCGCGAACGGGUGAGUAACACGUGGGUGACCUGCCCCGAUGAUCGGGACAACCCGGGGAAACCCGGGCUAAUACCGAAUGUGCUCCCAGCCAUAGCCGGCUGGGUGGAAAGGUAGCUUCGGCUUCCGCAUCGGGAUGGGCCCGCGGCCCAUUAGCUUGUUGGUGAGGUAACGGCUCACCAAGGCUUCGAUGGGUAGCUGGUCUGAGAGGACGAUCAGCCACACUGGGACUGAGACACGGCCCAGACUCCUACGGGAGGCAGCAGUGGGGAAUCUUGCGCAAUGCGCGAAAGCGUGACGCAGCAACGCCGCGUGGGGGAAGAAGGCCUUCGGGUUGUAAACCUCUUUCAGUUGGGACGAAGCCUCGGCGGUGAAUAGCCGUUCGAGGUGACGGUACCUUCAGAAGAAGCCCCGGCUAACUACGUGCCAGCCGCCGCAGUAACAC